rnacentral:rRNA from 1 species
AGUGGCGCACGGGUGAGUAACACGUGACUAACCUACCCUCGAGUGGGGAAUAACCUCGGGAAACCGGGGCUAAUACCGCAUAACAUCCAGGGAUCAAAUGCGUAAGCAGCUUGGGGAGGGGGUCGCGGCUGAUUAGCUAGUUGGCGGGGUAACGGCCCACCAAGGCAAUGAUCAGUAGCCGGCCUGAGAGGGCGCACGGCCACACUGGAACUGAAACACGGUCCAGACUCCUACGGGAGGCAGCAGUGGGGAAUUUUGCGCAAUGGGGGAAACCCUGACGCAGCAACGCCGCGUGGAGGAUGAAGCCCCUUGGGGUGUAAACUCCUUUCGACCGGGACGAUUAUGACGGUACCGGUAUAAGAAGCACCGGCUAACUCUGUGCCAGCAGCCGCGGUAAUACAGAGGGUGCAAGCGUUGUUCGGAAUUAUUGGGCGUAAAGGGUGCGUAGGCGGUGCGGUAAGUCUUCUGUGAAAUCUCCGGGCUCAACUCGGAGUCUGCAGGGGA